GUAGGUAAUAGGAUACCUGCCUGUCCUGUCCUGUCCUGUGUGUGGGCGGUGGUGGUGGAAGGCAUUGAGCAGUGCACCAUGUAGGUAAUAGGAUACCUGCCUGUCCUGUCCUGUGUGUGGGCGGUGGUGGUGGAAGGCAUUGAGCAGUGCAGGGCCCCUGUGACAUUCAGUACAUCAUAGAAAUACAAUCUUUAGAACAAACA